AUUGAACGCUGGCGGCAGGCCUAACACAUGCAAGUCGAGCGGUAGAGCGAAGCUUGCUUCUCUUGAGAGCGGCGGACGGGUGAGUAAUGCCUAGGAAUCUGCCUGGUAGUGGGGGAUAACGUUCGGAAACGGACGCUAAUACCGCAUACGUCCUACGGGAGAAAGCAGGGGACCUUCGGGCCUUGCGCUAUCAGAUGAGCCUAGGUCGGAUUAGCUAGUUGGUGGGGUAAUGGCUCACCAAGGCGACGAUCCGUAACUGGUCUGAGAGGAUGAUCAGUCACACUGGAACUGAGACACGGUCCAGACUCCUACGGGAGGCAGCAGUGGGGAAUAUUGGACAAUGGGCGAAAGCCUGAUCCAGCCAUGCCGCGUGUGUGAAGAAGGUCUUCGGAUUGUAAAGCACUUUAAGUUGGGAGGAAGGGCAGUAAAUUAAUACUUUGCUGUUUUGACGUUACCGACAGAAUAAGCACCGGCUAACUCUGUG
rnacentral:rRNA from 1 species